GAGGUAGCUCAGUUGGUUAGAGCACAAUACUGAUAAUGUCAAGGUUGCAGGCUCGAUCCCUGAUAUCCCAGCUGCA